UGUUCUGUGGUGGAGUUGGUUAACGCGCCCUGUCUAGCGAACUUGGGGAGACGUGGGUUCAAACCCCACCAGAACUA
rfam:Aedes albopictus isolate Foshan contig82539, whole genome shotgun sequence.